rnacentral:rRNA from 1 species
ACUCCUACGGGAGGCAGCAGUGGGGAGUCUUGCAUCAAUGGGGAAACCCGUAGCAUGCAGCCAUGCCGCGUGUGUGAAGAAGGCCUUCGGGUUGUAAAGCACUUUCAGUAGGGAGGAAGGUAGUGUAGUUAACACCUGCAUUAUUUGACGUUACCUACAGAAGAAGCACCGGCUAACUCCGUGCCAGCAGCCGCGGUAAUACGGAGGGUGCGAGCGUUAAUCGGAAUUACUGGGCGUAAAGCGCAUGCAGGCGGCCUGUUAAGUCAGAUGUGAAAGCCCGGGGCUUAACCUCGGAAUUGCAUUUGAAACUGGCAGGCUAGAGUCUUGUAGAGGGGUGAGAAUUGAUCAGGUG